UGAAGAUGGUCUGAUGACAGUCCCAACAUGCUAACAGCUCAAUAUGCAGGAGCAGGUAAUUGAUGCCGGCUUCCUCUUCCUCCUCUUCCUCGUCUAACCCUGUGCAGCCACUAGAUGGAGCAUGAUAACCACAGAGAGGAUCUCCCGGUGGGACCCCGACCCCCGACCCUGCCCCGGAUCCGGUGGGUGCUGCGGCUCCCGGCGGAGGUGAGAACGGGAAAUUAUCUGCCAGGUUUAUCACGGAUUCCCAUCGACUUCCUGUUUGUUUUCAUUGUUUCUUUUACCAUCCAGACGUUUCUCAGUGCAGGUCAGUGGGAGUAAGAGGUCAGAAAAGUUAAAGCAAACAGACUUUUACCAACAUAAAGACUUCUGUUUUUAUCAUUUUGUCCUUUAAUUUGCUUUCUAUCUCAAAAUUAUGCAUAAAAAACACCAAGUAAUUUAAAUUUAGCCUAUUUAGGAGACAAAAUAAACUCUUAAAGACUUUUUGGUGGAAACAAUAAAUUAAACUUGAAGAAUAUGAAUUAAUAUGAGUCACAACAACAUUAAAUUUCACCUU